rnacentral:rRNA from 1 species
AACGAACGCUGGCGGCAUGCCUAACACAUGCAAGUCGAACGAGACCUUCGGGUCUAGUGGCGCACGGGUGCGUAACGCGUGGGAACCUGCCCUUAGGUUCGGAAUAACUCCCCGAAAGGGGUGCUAAUACCGGAUAAUGUCUUCGGACCAAAGAUUUAUCGCCUUUGGAUGGGCCCGCGUUGGAUUAGCUAGUUGGUAGGGUAAAAGCCUACCAAGGCGACGAUCCAUAGCUGGUCUGAGAGGAUGAUCAGCCACACUGGGACUGAGACACGGCCCAGACUCCUACGGGAGGCAGCAGUGGGGAAUAUUGGACAAUGGGCGAAAGCCUGAUCCAGCAAUGCCGCGUGAGUGAUGAAGGCCUUAGGGUUGUAAAGCUCUUUUACCCGGGAUGAUAAUUACAGUACCGGGAGAAUAAGCGCCGGCUAACUCCGUG